UCAGGUACCUGAAGUAGCGC
rnacentral:miRNA from 2 species